AGCGACAAGCUUAGAAUAGAAAUGGCCGAGUCAGAGCAUAUGUCAGAGCUUGCAAGCAAGUUAAACAGGCAACAGCAGAUAAACGAUGGUGAAGUGAAGGCUGCUAAAGUCUCCCAGUCAGUGUAUGCAGAGUUUAAAGAGUUCUCUAUACAAUAAAUCAAAUAAUAUCGAAAGAUAUUUGUAAGAUAUGAUGUAGACAUCAUAUUUUAUGGAGCUUAAGCUGAUGAUGGAGCUUCAUUGAUUUUAUGGAGCUUAAGCUGAUGAUGGAGAAACUGGGAGAGCCCCAAACCCACCUUGGACUGAAGGCAAUGCCCGGCAAUGGUAACUGAAAGAAGUCGAUGAAGAUCACGACAAUCAAAUUAGCUUUAGAGAGUUUAUGCUUAUAUU